rnacentral:lncRNA from 1 species
UGUAUUGGGUCAUCCCAGUUCAUACUGGGGUCAUCCCAGUCCAUCCUAGGGUCAUCCCAGUCCAUACUGGGGUCAUCCCAGUCCAUACUGGAGUCAUCUCAGUCCAUGCUGGGGUCAUCCCAGUCCACGCUGGAAUCAUUCCAGUUCAUACUGGGGUCAUCCCAGUCCACACUGGAGUCAUCCCAGUCCAUGCUGGGGUCAUUCCAGUCCAUCCUAGGGUCAUCCCAGUUCAUACUGGGGUCAUCCCAGUCUAUACUGGGGUCAUCCCAGUCCAUUUUGGGCCAUCCCAGUACAAAUCAGGGUCAUCCCAGUAUGUGCUGGGACCAUCCCAAUCCAUAUUGAGGUCAUCCCAGUCUGUAUUGGGGUCAUUCCAGUCCAUAUUGGGUCAUCCCAGUUCAUACUGGGGCCAACCCAGUCCAUGCUGGGGUCAUCCCAGUCCAUAUUGGGUCAUCCCAGUUCAUACUGGGGCCAUCCCAGUACAAACCAGGGUCAUCCCAGUCCAUGCCGGGGUCAUUCCAGUCCAUCCUAGGGUCAUCCCAGUUCAUACUGGGGUCAUCCCAGUCUAUACUAGGGUCAUCCCAGUCCAUAUUGGGCCAUCCCAGUCUAUCCUGGAGUCAUCCCAGUUCAUACUGGGGUCAUCCCAGUCCAUGCUGGGGUCAUCCCAGUCUGUAUUGGGGUCAUCCCAGUACAAGCUGGGGUUACUCCAGUCCAUACUGGGGCCCCAGACCCUCCCUAGUCCGUACUGGGACUCCUACAGUCCAUACUGGAACCCCCCUGUG